rnacentral:tRNA from 1 species
GGGGCCAUAGGGUAGACUGGUCCAUCCCUCCAGCUCGGGGAGCUGGCAACCCGAGUUCAAAUCUCGGUGGCCCCA